AUUGAACGCUGGCGGCAGGCCUAACACAUGCAAGUCGAGCGAGCGGCGGACGGGUGAGUAAUGUAUGGGGACUGCCCGAUAGAGGGGGAUAACUACUGGAAACGGUGGCUAAUACCGCAUACUAUCGGAUAACCCAUAUGGGAUUAGCUAGUAGGUGGGGUAAAGGCUCACCUAGGCGACGAUCUCUAGCUGGUCUGAGAGGAUGAUCAGCCCCACUGGGACUGACACACGGCCCAGAGCCAUACGGAGGAAGCAGGGGGGAUAAUGGCACAAGGGGCGCAAGCCUGAGGCAGCCAUGCCGGGUGUAUGAAGAAGGCCUGAGGGUUUUAAAGUACUUUCAGCGGGGAGGCGUUACCCGCAGAAGAAGCACCGGCUAACUCCGUGCCAGCAGCCGCGGUAAUUC
rnacentral:rRNA from 1 species